AAGAAGCCCAUGUUUGAUGCUCGUCUCCAGGGUGGAGCAUUGAAUUUAUAACUAAUGAAGUGGCAUCUGACACCUGACAAGCUGCUCCUGUUUGCACAGCAACUUCAACAUUGUGUACUGUGAUCAUGGCAUAGUUCAGAGGUAGGUAACCUUGGGCAGUCCAGAUGCUGUGAAUUACAUGUCCCAUAAUGCUGGCAAACCAUUAUGGGAGAUGUAGUGCAAAACAUCUGGAAUACCGAAUGCGGAUGAAUGCAAAGUAUGGUGUGUGUGAAUGGUCAGUAACAAGGGUUGAAGCCUUGACGUGGCGUUACUGCUCACAUGUGUAUUCAUGUGCCAAUUCAACCAAUGUGAGUCACUGUAAUACUUAUAAGGUAACCAAAAGUACUGUGAUUGUGGAGAAUGAAACGCCUGUAUCACCUACACACUGCUUACACUGUGACCGUAUCUCCUAUACACUGCUGACACUGUGACCGUAUCUCCUAUACACUGCUCAUACUGUGACCGUAUCUCCUACACACUGCUGACACUGUUACCGUAUCUCCUAUACACUGCUGACACUGUUACCGUAUCUCCUAUACACUGCUGACACUGUGACCGUAUCUCCUACACACUGCUCACACUGUGACCGUAUCUCCUACACACUGCUCACACUGUGACCGUAUCUCCUACACACUGCUCACACUGUGACCGUAUCUCCUCAACACUGCUGUCACUGUGACCGUAUCUCCUAAACACUGCUGACACUGUGACCGUAUCUCCUAUACACUGCUUACACUGUGACCCAAUCGCCUAAACACUGCUUACACUGUGAAUGUUAUUUUUUUCAAGUUUGUUUUAGUGUUUGCGGUUUCAUUGAUUUGUUAACCACUCUCCUCACUCUUCUGUUCUGUGUUUUCUUACAUUUGUGGGAAGAACAAGGUGAUCCUCUCAAUUUUACACUCCUUUACUGAUGGUUCCAGUGCCAGAGACAACCCCACCACCAUUAACCUCGACCUG